rnacentral:rRNA from 1 species
CUGAAACCGUGUACGUACAAGCAGUGGGAGCACGCUUAGGCGUGUGACUGCGUACCUUUUGUAUAAUGGGUCAGCGACUUAUAUUCUGUAGCAAGGUUAACCGAAUAGGGGAGCCGAAGGGAAACCGAGUCUUAACUGGGCGUUAAGUUGCAGGGUAUAGACCCGAAACCCGGUGAUCUAGCCAUGGGCAGGUUGAAGGUUGGGUAACACUAACUGGAGGACCGAACCGACUAAUGUUGAAAAAUUAGCGGAUGACUUGUGGCUGGGGGUGAAAGGCCAAUCAAACCGGGAGAUAGCUGGUUCUCCCCGAAAGCUAUUUAGGUAGCGCCUCGUGAAUUCAUCUCCGGGGGUAGAGCACUGUUUCGGCAAGGGGGUCAUCCCGACUUACCAACCCGAUGCAAACUGCGAAUACCGGAGAAUGUUAUCACGGGAGACACACGGCGGGUGCUAACGUCCGUCGUGAAGAGGGAAACAACCCAGACCGCCAGCUAAGGUCCCAAAGUCAUGGUUAAGUGGGAAACGAUGUGGGAAGGCCCAGACAGCCAGGAUGUUGGCUUAGAAGCAGCCAUCAUUUAAAGAAAGCGUAAUAGCUCACUGGUCGAGUCGGCCUGCGCGGAAGAUGUAACGGGGCUAAACCAUGCACCGAAGCUGCGGCAGCGACGCUUAUGCGUUGUUGGGUAGGGGAGCGUUCUGUAAGCCUGCGAAGGUGUGCUGUGAGGCAUGCUGGAGGUAUCAGAAGUGCGAAUGCUGACAUAAGUAACGAUAAAGCGGGUGAAAAGCCCGCUCGCCGGAAGACCAAGGGUUCCUGUCCAACGUUAAUCGGGGCAGGGUGAGUCGACCCCUAAGGCGAGGCCGAAAGGCGUAGUCGAUGGGAAACAGGUUAAUAUUCCUGUACUUGGUGUUACUGCGAAGGGGGGACGGAGAAGGCUAUGUUGGCCGGGCGACGGUUGUCCCGGUUUAAGCGUGUAGGCUGGUUUUCCAGGCAAAUCCGGAAAAUCAAGGCUGAGGCGUGAUGACGAGGCACUACGGUGCUGAAGCAACAAAUGCCAUGCUUCCAGGAAAAGCCUCUAAGCAUCAGGUAACAUCAAAUCGUACCCCAAACCGACACAGGUGGUCAGGUAGAGAAUACCAAGGCGCUUGAGAGAACUCGGGUGAAGGAACUAGGCAAAAUGGUGCCGUAACUUCGGGAGAAGGCACGCUGAUAUGUAGGUGAAGCGACUUGCUCGUGGAGCUGAAAUCAGUCGAAGAUACCAGCUGGCUGCAACUGUUUAUUAAAAACACAGCACUGUGCAAACACGAAAGUGGACGUAUACGGUGUGACGCCUGCCCGGUGCCGGAAGGUUAAUUGAUGGGGUCAGCGCAAGCGAAGCUCUUGAUCGAAGCCCCGGUAAACGGCGGCCGUAACUAUAACGGUCCUAAGGUAGCGAAAUUCCUUGUCGGGUAAGUUCCGACCUGCACGAAUGGCGUAAUGAUGGCCAGGCUGUCUCCACCCGAGACUCAGUGAAAUUGAACUCGCUGUGAAGAUGCAGUGUACCCGCGGCAAGACGGAAAGACCCCGUGAACCUUUACUAUAGCUUGACACUGAACAUUGAGCCUUGAUGUGUAGGAUAGGUGGGAGGCUUUGAAGUGUGGACGCCAGUCUGCAUGGAGCCGACCUUGAAAUACCACCCUUUAAUGUUUGAUGUUCUAACGUUGACCCGUAAUCCGGGUUGCGGACAGUGUCUGGUGGGUAGUUUGACUGGGGCGGUCUCCUCCUAAAGAGUAACGGAGGAGCACGAAGGUUGGCUAAUCCUGGUCGGACAUCAGGAGGUUAGUGCAAUGGCAUAAGCCAGCUUGACUGCGAGCGUGACGGCGCGAGCAGGUGCGAAAGCAGGUCAUAGUGAUCCGGUGGUUCUGAAUGGAAGGGCCAUCGCUCAACGGAUAAAAGGUACUCCGGGGAUAACAGGCUGAUACCGCCCAAGAGUUCAUAUCGACGGCGGUGUUUGGCACCUCGAUGUCGGCUCAUCACAUCCUGGGGCUGAAGUAGGUCCCAAGGGUAUGGCUGUUCGCCAUUUAAAGUGGUACGCGAGCUGGGUUUAGAACGUCGUGAGACAGUUCGGUCCCUAUCUGCCGUGGGCGCUGGAGAACUGAGGGGGGCUGCUCCUA